GGGCCUGUAGCUCAAUUGGUUAGAGCAGAGGACUCAUAAUCCUUUGGUUUGGGGUUCAAGUCCCCACGGGCCCACCA
rnacentral:tRNA from 1 species